rnacentral:rRNA from 1 species
UACGUAGGAUGCAAGCGUUGUCCGGAAUUAUUGGGCGUAAAGAGCGCGCAGGCGGUAUGACAAGUCAGAUGUGAAAGAGGCCGGCUUAACCGGCAAGGGUCAUUUGAAACUGUCAGACUAGAGUGCAGCAGAGGAUAGUGGAAUUCCCGGUGUAGUGGUGAAAUGCGUAGAGAUCCGGAAGAACACCGGUGGCGAAGGCGGCCUGCUGGGCAGUUUUGCUGACACUGAGGCGCGACAGCGUGGGGAGCAAACAGG